rnacentral:rRNA from 1 species
CACGUAGGGCGCAAGCGUUGUCCGGAAUUAUUGGGCGUAAAGAGCUCGUAGGCGGACUGUCACGUCCGCUGUGAAAAGCUAGGGCUUAACCCUGGCCUUGCAGUGGAUACGGGCAGACUAGAGGUAGGUAGGGGAGAAUGGAAUUCCCGGUGUAGCGGUGAAAUGCGUUGAUAUCAGGAGGAACACCGAUGGCGAAGGCAGCAAACUGGUCGUCAACUGACGCUGAGGCGCGAAAGCGUGGGUAGCAAACAGG